GUGAAUCAUCAAAUUUUUGAACGCAAAUUGCACUCUCUGGUAUUCCGGAGAGUAUGCCUGUUUGAGGGUCAGUUUAAAUAAAAAUCGGUGUGGUUGCUGCCUUUCUUGUUGAGGCACCGGAUUUGGGUCGUCUUGACUUCUGUUAAGUGACGUAAGAUUUUUCAUGAUUUUUUCUAACGUAUUUAAAUGAUGUUACGUACGUUUGCGAUAUCGACUACUAGUUGUGGUGCUCCUACUGAG
rnacentral:misc_RNA from 1 species